GGAUUAGCUCAGUUGGCUAGAGCGUCCCGAUUGGAAUCGGGAAGGUCAUCGGUUCGAUUCCAAAACUA
rnacentral:tRNA from 5 species